UACGUAGGUCCCGAGCGUUGUCCGGAUUUAUUGGGCGUAAAGCGAGCGCAGGUGGUUUAUUAAGUCUGGUGUAAAAGGCAGUAGCUCAACCAUUGUAUGCAUUGGAAACUGGUAGACUUGAGUGCAGGAGAGGAGAGUGGAAUUCCAUGUGUAGCGGUGAAAUGCGUAGAUAUAUGGAGGAACACCGGUGGCGAAAGCGGCUCUCUGGCCUGUAACUGACACUGAGGCUCGAAAGAGUGGGGAGCAAACAGG
rnacentral:rRNA from 1 species